rnacentral:lncRNA from 1 species
AGCAUGAGAGCAAAACCUUGCCUUCGUUGUUUCUAGUCACAAUCCCUGCAGCCGAUUGCUUACUCUUUCCAUCAUAUGCUGCAUCAAAGUUUAUCUUCACAAUCUGGUCAUGUGGCUUCUUCCAUUUGCUUGUCAAUUUAUAUGAUUGUGCUUUACUUUUUCCUAUCCCGUCCAACUCUGUUAUGUAGCUACUAACGAAUCGGCCUAUUUCUUUUCCAGAUUUGCUCACUUUAUUAUGCACUUUGUUAUUUCUGUCUCCCCAUAUAGCCCAUAAUGCAUAGCAAAAUAUCCUACACUGAGAUUCCGAGUUCUUCGAAAAAACUCCGGUAAGCCACUCUGCAAACUCCAACAGUCUUUCGUGCACCAAAACAUUACAUGGUAAUUCCUUCCAUACUGAUUUUGACACAGGGAAUUCGCAAAAAAAAGUGAUUCAUACUCUCUGUUUCGACUCCACAUCGUGGGCACACUGUUGUGUUUAUUAGUUUUUUCUGAAGUAGAUUAACCCGUGUAGCUAGGAAAUUCCACGAUAUCUUCCAGAUUGUAAUUUUGAUUUUUAAGGGAAGAUUCAAUAGCCAUAAUUUUCUGUAAAAUUCCUUGUAACCUUCUUGUAAAGCAUAAGCUCUAGGAUCAUCCUCGAUAUUCUGUAAUAGUUUAUAGGAGCUACGAACUGUGAAUUCGCCCGACGCCUCAGCACUCUAAACCCGGAAGUCAUCAUGAGGAUCCUCUGCCAGUGGAAUACCAAUAAUCUUCUCAGCUACAUCCUCCGGAAAGGUAGAAAUUAUCAACUCUUCCUUCAAUGUUCUGUUAUUUUGAUUGAUUAGAUCGGUAACUUUACAAUCAUUCAAAUUCGUGACUAUAGCUGAUAAUCUGUUUCUUCCCACAUCGGGGAUCCAAUUGUCACAACCAACUAUAAUUUGCUCUCCCCUUCCUACUCUCCAGCACAUACCUUCCCUUAAAAUACCCUUUGUAGCCCAAAUACCUUUCCACGUAUACGAAGCAUUGCUCCCCAAACAUGAGUCAAGGAAAUUAUUAUUCGAAAAAUAUUUUGCUUUUAAAACUUGAGCUAAUAAUGAAUCUGGAUAGUUCAAUAUUCUCCAACCCUGUUUAGCUAAUAAUGAGAGGUUAAAUUUAGCCAUAUCUCUGAAUCCCAAACCCCCUUCUCCUUUUGACCGGCACAAGUAAGUCCAUUUACACCAAUGAAUUCCUCUUCUCCCAUGAGCUUUUUGCCACCAAAACUUAGCAAAAAUGCCUUCUAUAUCUCUGCAAAAUGACUUCGGUAAUAAAAAAUAAGACAUUGCAUAUGUUGGAAUAGCCUGUAGGACCGACUUCAAAAAUACUUCAUUGCCUCCUUGCGACAACAUUCUGGUGCUCCACCCUUCGAUUCUACUGUAAAUUUUCACUUUGAGAUAUUGAAAAGAUUCUUUUUUCCGUCUACCCACCACAUUCGGAAGCCCUAGAUAUCUUUCCAUAUUUGUUGAGGUUCUUAUCCCCAUAAUUACCGAGACUUCGUUCUUUUUGUCUUCUGUAGUAUUAGUGCUGAAAAAGAUUGUAGAUUUGUUAAAAUUAACACAUUGACCGGAACUUUUACCAUAUUCUUUCAAAAUUUUUUUUAGCACCGUUGUCCCCUUCCUGUUGCUUCCCCAAACAAAAUACAAUCAUCUGCAAAGAGUAGAUGUGUAAUUUUCGGGCCUCUCAUACUUGCCUUUGCUCCUUUUAACAACCUUUCCUUUGAUGCCAGUCUCAUCAAGGCUGAUAACCCCUCAUUGCACAUUAAAAAGAGAAAAGGGCUCAAAGGAUCUCCUUGUCGCAAUCCUCUUGUUGGCUUAAAACUUUGCCCAUAACCUCCAUUAGUAUUCACAACAUAGGACGUAGUAGAAAUGCAUUUCAUGACCAACUCUACCCAUUCUAUAUCAAAACCCAUACAUAACAUGACUUCUUUUAAAUAACCCCAUUAAACCCUAUCAUAGGCUUUACUCAUAUCAAGCUUUACGGCCAUAUAUCCUUUUUUCCCUCUUCGUUUUUGUCUAAAUGUAUGCAGAAUCUCAUAGGCAAGUAGCACAUUAUCUGUAAUUAGCCUUCCUGGGACGAAUGCACUUUGAGCUGCAUCAAUACACCUUCCAAUACCGAUUUGAAGUCGAUUUGCAAUUAUUUUUGCCACCAUUUUAUAAAGGACUGAACAUAAACUAAUAGGUCUGAAAUUGGCUAAGCUAGUAGGGUUAGAGAUUUUAAGAAUCAACACAAUCUCUGUUUGAUUGAAAGGACUAAAAUUUUCACUAUUAUUAAGAAUUCCCAGACAGAAAUCAACAAUUUCCUUACCUACAAUGUGCCAAAAUUUCUAAAAGAAGAUUGCUGGAAAACCAUCCCGACCUGGUGCUUUUAUGGGGCCCAUUCCUUUCAAAGCCCCAUGAACUUCUUCUGCUGUAUAUUUCUUCAUCAAGGCUCUGUUAAUUUCUACCUGAAUCUUACUAUCAAUGCCUGUUAGAAGAUGAGAAGGAUCUCCUACUUCACUUGAUGUAAAUAAAUUUUGAAAGUACCUGGUAGCCAUUUCAUUAAUCUCACUAGCUUCAUUAGCCUCUCCCCCAUCUUCCAGAUCUAACUUUGAAAUUGUAUUGAUUUUCUUCGGAUUGUGGCGAAUCUAUGGAAAAAAAACCGUAUUUCGAUCUCCUACCUUAAGCCAAUUUGCCCUUGCGCUUUGUUCCCAAUAGAGCUCAUCCUUCUCAAUCUCCAUGUUUAAAUGAAUUUUGGUAUCAAUUAUUUUUGCCAUUAAUUCAUCACUCCUAUCCUGCUCCAUUAAUAUUUCAAGCUGCUUAGUAAGCUUUUUCUUCAAACCUUCUAUUCGUUCUUUUAUUGAAUUUGCCCAUAACUUUAAAUCAAUCUUUAAUCUUUCGAGCUUGUCAUAAACUGUGCCUACUCCUGACUCCCAAGAAUCUCUAACUACUUCCUCAAAUGUAUCCUCCAUGAUCCACCAUGCCUCAAAUUUAAACCUUACAUUGCCUUUAUGAGUGUCUCCACAUUUUGUAUUAACAAGAAUAGGACAAUGAUCAGACAUGGAAUGAGUUAAAUGCUUGAUAUUACCUACUGGAAAUAAUUGCUUCCACUUGUCGUUUGCCACCCCCUUAUCAAGUCUCUUUCUAAUAUUCGUCUCCGAUGAAUUUCCCCUUUCCCAAGUAAACCAGGCCCCUGAAUAACCCAAAUCUUCAAGUAAACAAUCUCCUAAAGCCUCUCUAAAUGCCUCCAUUCGACUCUCCUCCUUUGGUGCGCCCCCAUAUUUUUCAUAAGUAAAAAGUAUCUUAUUAAAAUCACCGCAUACCAGCCAGGGAUGCCUCCUAUCUUGUCCCAACUUUUUUAGCAAAUUCCAUGUAGCACUCUUAUCCUUAGCAUAGGGCGAACCAUAAAACCCCAUGAAUCUCCAAUCGACUUCGACUUCUGCAUCACCUCCUUUAAUCAUAGCAUCAAUAUGGUUUUUGUAAUAACUUUGUAAACAUACUUGAAUGUCUCCUUUCCAUGCCAAGCAUAAUCCUCCUUGCGAACCCUCAGCUUCAAUGUCAAUACCAUUGUUGAAACCACAUCUUCUUCUAACUUUUUCCAUACGAUGUUUAUCUAACUUUGUCUCCAUUAAGAAGACCAUUGGGGGAUUGUGUUGCUUUAGAAGAAAGCAAAGCCUCCUCACUGCCCGUGGACUCUCCAAUCCACGAACAUUCUAACUUAUUAUUUUCAUAGCGUCCGGUCGGCUUGCCAAUUGGUAGCCGCCGAUCUUAGUAAAUGUUGUACCUCCGUUUGCUCCGAACACUCCAACGUCCCUUCUGAGCAGGCUCUUUCACAAUCCUCCACAUCAGCCAUUUUCACUCUUUUACUUCCAUCUCUUUCAUCAUUCCUCGGACUACCUUCUUCUGUAAACUUUCUCUUCCUCAUACUAUUAACAUCCGCUAAUUCUACCUCCAUGUCCAAUGUCUUUAUUCUUUUCCAACUCUUUCUCUUUUCUUGAUUAAUGUCUGUACAUACUUGUGCUUUGCUACUAUUGAUCUUCACGACCUCCUCUGGCCCAAAUUUGCUUUCCUGCUUUUGCAGCAACUCUUUUCCUCCCAUCAGCUCCAUAUUUUCCUGGAUUUCCUUUAUCUCAUUCUUCCUUUCAUCAAGCAAUACUUUACCUCCUGUGAAUGAGCUCUGAACCCCCGCAUUCCUCCACAUAGCACUAAACUGCAACUUUCUUUUCCAACUUGUUUUGAUUCUGCUUUUAAAUCCAUUAAAUAAGGUGGAUCACUACUUAUUUUGCUUUUUCUUGCAGGUAUUAUUUGAGUACAAUCUGUAAGUCCAUGCCCCAUUCUUCCACAACCAAAAUAAAAGAUUGGCAGAUUCUCAUAUUUAAAAAGAACCUACAUUUUCUUAAUAUUAAUGCUUGAGACGAAAAUACCUUGACAUAGUGGUUUCUGGACAUCCAAACUAAUUCUGAGUCAGCAGCAAGUAUCGCUUAUUU